rnacentral:rRNA from 1 species
CCAGACUCCUACGGGAGGCAGCAGUGGGGAAUAUUGCACAAUGGGGGAAACCCUGAUGCAGCAACGCCGCGUGAGUGAAGAAGUAUUUCGGUAUGUAAAGCUCUAUCAGCAGGGAAGAAGAUGACGGUACCUGAGUAAGAAGCCCCGGCUAACUACGUGCCAGCAGCCGCGGUAAUACGUAGGGGGCAAGCGUUAUCCGGAUUUACUGGGUGUAAAGGGAGCGUAGACGGUGAGACAAGUCUGAAGUGAAAGCCCGGGGCUCAACCCCGGGACUGCCCUUGGAACUGUGCGGCUAGAGUGCGGGAGGGGCAGGCGGAAUUCCUGGUGUAGCGGUGAAAUGCGUAGAUAUCAGGAGGAACACCGGUGGCGAAGGCGGCCUGCUGGACUGCAACUGACGUUGAGGCCCGAAAGCGUGGGGAGCAAACAGGAUUAGAUACCCCGGUAG